rnacentral:tRNA from 1 species
GGCCCCAUAGCUCAGCUGGACAGAGCAACCGCCUUCUAAGCGGUAGGUCACAGGUUCGAAUCCUGUUUGGGUCGCCA